GGGAGGCCCCGAGGCAACAAGUGCUGCUAAUACUUGGAUUCCAUGGUUAAACUCCGUGGCUUCCUCG
rnacentral:tRNA from 1 species